rnacentral:rRNA from 1 species
GGGUCAAAGGGGGAGCGGCGGCGGCGGCGGCGUCCUCGGCCUUGGCGGCCUAGGCCUCGGCCUCUUCUGGUCCUCGUUCUUGUCGUCCACUUAUAGACUGAGCGGGAGAAGAAGUAGGGCCCGCCCGCCUAGGAAGGGGCCGUCGCCGCGGGCUCCCCUUCAGCUGGAGCGGCUCUCCCCCCGGCUGCCCCCGCGAGCCCAGCAGCCGCCGCGCGGCAAGCUGAAGGGCCCGCGGGGCGGCGGCCUAAAGAAGGGCCGCUACGCCCCUCGCCGUGCGGUCCCAAGCGGCGGAACCACGCGGGAGGGGAUGUUCAAAGGACCGAACCGCGACGGUCGGGGUCUUCCCUUCCCAUACUUCGGUUUACGGGUAAAGGGGAGGUAAAUAGUAAGUCUCGUUUGUUCUGACUGAACAGAGGACCAAAUAGUACGUCCAUGGGUCCUCUACUGGUCCUUCUUCUUCUGCCGACGACGAUCUUUACGACGUGUCUCCUUGACGAUAAUGGAAGAGGUUGGUCCCCUCCGUUUGUGAGGAAAGGAGCGAAAGUACUCUUCGGAGCCGUUGCUGUAGUACUGGUUGCUUGGCGGCGGUCCAGUCUUAGUUGGCCACCAACUAGGAGGGCGCGCCAAAUAAGGCGGGCGGGUCGUCCCAGACAAAGCGCAUUAGUUGUACCAUGAGCUAUAAUAGGUUAGUCCAAGAACGAAGCUCUAGGACGUACUCUCCUUAUAGUGUAAGUGGCUUAUGAAGUUGUAAGGCUUCGAGUAACGGUUAUUGGAGUUCCUGUCAAGACGGUUCCCGUGCUUCUCGUUAGACUGCCGAGAGCGUCUCUACGAACUAGCGCAACAUCGUUCUCGUUCGAUGUAUAUACUGUUUUUAUCGUCUCGAUUGGGCCUUAAGUGUGUGAACUAAGUCGUGUAAUUCCCGAUAGCCGUUCCACUAAGUAAGAAAUACUGCUCCAUGGUAUACACAUGAGACGGUGACGGGUUAUCUACAAAAUACAUGCAACGGUACAUACUGAUGUAUUACCUGUAGAACUCCUUGUACCUAGGCCUUCGUAAAGUAAUACAAUAGUCACCAGACGCCAUAGGACUCCUGACCGUGUAGGUCACAGUUGUAUUAUGUAUGGAACGUAAGAUGAUGUCUUCCCCUCCUAUACUGGGCCUGCGUUGUGAAUAAGGACUCUGUUGUCUGGGGGCCUAGCAUGGAGACGCGAAGGUGGCCUUACCAGGUAGCGUACGGGACCUCCUACGCCGACUGGGCUAACGUCUAGUACCCUACUCCAAUUGUUCCGCUCUAAACCCGGUACAAAACAUAAAGGUCAAGUGAGUGAACUACUAAAGUUACCUCUGUUCGGAGGUGAAGGACCCUCGCGAGAGAGUAGAUCUACAAGUCCUAGAAAAAGGAAAAGUACACUCCUUCUUGAUCCACAGUCGUCGAGAUCGAUCACAUGUCAACAUAUAAACAACGGAUCUACUGUACCUUUCGUGUCAUUGAGUGACGGAAACAUAUUGUGUUUACUAAGAAAGAAACCAAACCAAAACGCCGAGUUUGGUUUGCCGACAGGCAUAUCAGCAUAUAGGAAAGUAGAUAUACAG